GAUGAACGUUGGCGGCGUGGAUUAGGCAUGCAAGUCGAGCGAGAACCCCGCAAGGGGGGACAGCGGCAAACGGGGUAGUAAUGUGUCGGAACGUGCCCUCUGGACGGGGAUAGCGGCGGGAAACUGCCGGUAAUACCCGAUGAUCUCGAGAGAGCAAAGGUGCGAUUCCGCCGGAGGAGCGGCCGACAUGGUAUUAGCUAGUUGGCGGGGUAACGGCCCACCAAGGCUGUGAUGCCUAGGGGAUGUGAGAGCAUGAUCCCCACCAUUGGGACUGAGACACUGCCCAGACACCUACGGGUGGCUGCAGUCGAGAAUCUUCGUCAAUGGGCGAAAGCCUGAACGAGCGACGCCGCGUGCGGGAUGAAGGCCCUUGGGUUGUAAACCGCUGUCGAGGGGGAUGAAGGCAUUCAGGUACUCCUGAAUGUUUGACAGAGCCCUGGAGGAAGCACGGGCUAAGUUCGUGCCAGCCGCCGCCGUAACAC
rnacentral:rRNA from 1 species